AAGCCAGACCUCACUCACGCUGGCUUGUCGAAGUUCGUGUCAGUGCAGACUUCGUGUUCGUGCCUUGCCUUCCUUGCCGAUUAUGGAGCAGAGACGCAAAUCAUCCGCCGUGUGGGACCAUUUUGAUGUCCUGGAGAAUAAGGUGAAAUGUCGAAUUUGCCAAGUCAAUUCGCCAACAGAAGCACCUCCACCAUGCUGAGGCAUUAUCGGGCCAAGCAUGAGAAUGAAGUUCGCGAUACACCCGGUAUUACGCCAGGUUCCAGGAAGCAGCUGUACUGGAAGGACCAACACAUUUCUUUCCCAAACCUCUCCCACCUCGCAAAGGAGUUCCUUUGUACACCAGCCU